AGGCUUCCUGCUGAAGAAUUAGCUGAGCCUGCUAAAGGCUGGCAAUGCCAUGUGACAAAGCAAUGACCUUUAGGGCUGGCUUCAGCAAGGGCUGUGGUAGAAAAGAAUGGGGCACACCCAGCUUGUCAUUAUUUGCAUGGCUCGGAGACGGAGAGCCAACCAGACCUGUUGUGUCCUCAGGCAGUCUGUCACCUCUGCUACAUCACAGAUGGGCUACCCUUUCACAACCGCUACCCCAAGAGGUGCACAGGAAGAGAGCACCCAAGUAUGUGGAGACAACCUAGAAAUGUGAAUCCUUUCCUCAGUGAGGGGCAGGCAGGCGGAAAUGGGAGCCCAUGGGAGUUUGAAGAAAAAUCACAGGGCUUGAGAUAGCCAACCUAGAUUUUAGUUCCAGGACUGGUCGAGGGUGUCUGAAGAGCAGAGGUGGAUAGCCUAGGAGUACCUGCUGCACUCGUGAACAGAAACCGUGGAAGUCUGUGGAGAGAUCCACACCUAACGCCAGGAGGUUUUCUUACCCACGGACAACACUCCCCC